AUUGAAAGCUGGCGGCAGGCCUAACACAUGCAUGUCGAACGAGUGGCGGACGGGUGAGUAAUGUCUGGGAAACUGCCUGAUGGAGGGGGAUCACUACUGGAAACGGUAGCUAAUACGGCAUACUAUCCGGUGUGCCCAGAUGGGAUUGGAUGGUAGGUGGGGUAAAGGUUCACCUAGGCGACGAUCCCUAGCUGGUCUGAGAGGAUGACCAGCCACACUGGAACUGAGACACGGUCCAGACUCCUACGGGAGGCAGCAGUGGGGAAUAUUGCACAAUGGGCGCAAGCCUGAUGCAGCCAUGCCGCGUGUAUGAAGAAGGCCUUCGGGUUGUAAAGUACUUUCAGCGGGGAGGCGUUACCCGCAGAAGAAGCACCGGCUAACUCCGUGCCAGCAGCCGCGGUAAUUC
rnacentral:rRNA from 1 species